rnacentral:rRNA from 1 species
UACAGAGGGUGCGAGCGUUAAUCGGAAUUACUGGGCGUAAAGCGUGCGUAGACGGUUAUUUAAGUCGGAUGUGAAAGCCCCGGGCUCAACCUGGGAAUUGCAUUCGAGACUGAAUAGCUAGGGUGCGGUAGAGGGAAGCGGAAUUUCCGGUGUAGCGGUGAAAUGCGUAGAUAUCGGAAGAACAUCAGUGGCAAAAGCGGCUUCCUGGACUAGCACCGACGUCAGGCACGAAAGCGUGGGGAGCAAACAGG